rnacentral:rRNA from 1 species
GGAAUCUUCCGCAAUGGGCGAAAGCCUGACGGAGCGACGCCGCGUGAGCGAAGAAGGCCUUCGGGUCGUAAAGCUCUGUUGUGAGGGACGAAGGAGCGCCGUUCGAAGAGGGCGGCGCGGUGACGGUACCUCACGAGGAAGCCCCGGCUAACUACGUGCCAGCAGCCGCGGUAAUACGUAGGGGGCGAGCGUUGUCCGGAAUUAUUGGGCGUAAAGCGCGCGCAGGCGGUUCCUUAAGUCUGAUGUGAAAGCCCACGGCUCAACCGUGGAGGGUCAUUGGAAACUGGGGGACUUGA